ACACUGCAAAAAAACAAACAGCGCCACUCUUCUCUCCCAAGAGCAAACGGUAAAACAGCCAGUGGAUUUACUGCAGCCUGACUAUUAAAAUAACUAAACUGGCACCAUAUUUGUUUGUGGUUUCUUCUUUAGUGUUUUAAUUAUCAUAAAAUUGUAAUUAAUAUGGUUUGAGAUGUGAAAGAAAAGCUGCUGCUGACAGGAAAAUGUGCGGCUCUGUGGAGAUACUCGCCAUCUGUGCUGGCAUCGUCCACCAGUAAGAUCUCUGUGAGCAGGGCUGCAGGAGCUGUGUGUAAGACACUGUAGACGGUCCUCAGCAGAGUGGACCAUGCCUCAUUAUGAAACACUAUGAUCACACUGGUUGUAGGGAGGCCAGGACAACGCCGAAACCUCUGUUCCAAGCAGCUGUCAGAGCGGAACUGAAAGUUAACAGAGUCAUUCGGUGUGACACAAAGGGUUUACCUCGCGCUCCUGGUGCCCUGGGGUCUUGGAGAGGCCUCCGAAGGUGAGGCUUAAGCUCCUCUGCAGUGUAAAAGCCAGGUGGACAUUUGGGAUUUGGCAACAGGACAACAGGGGUGGAU